CAACUACUCCCUCUGUCCCAAAUUUCUUGUCUUAGAUUUUGUCUAGAUAGAUGUAUCUAAUACUAAAAUGUGACUUGAUACAUCUGUAUCUAGACAAAUCUAAGACAAGAAUUUUGGGACAGAGGGAGUACUUU
rfam:Triticum aestivum genome assembly, contig: Triticum_aestivum_CS42_TGACv1_scaffold_404821_5BL